CGGGACCGAGAGCUUCUGCUGGGCGGGCUCCUCUUGCCAGACUUGGAGGAGUAGCUGGGAGAGCGGGAGUAGGACCUGGUAAGAGAUGAAUUCCGAGAUCAAGAGGCAGCUUGGCCUAAUAGGUUACAAAAAUACAAUCAAGAAGAGAAUUCCAAUUAAACUGAACAAGUCCAUUUACGGAGCUUCAAACGGCCCCAUGGAGAGAGACGGCUAUAAAUUUUUUACUCCCUCUUUGCCAUAUGGGGGACUGGAAAUUCUCAUGAAUCUGAAAGGAACAGUGGCUUCUGGCUCCUCCUUUACCAGGAACUUCUCUGGAGGGCCCCUGCUCACUGACUUUGGGAAAAAAAUCUCUACAUAGCUGCAGCUAGACAAUAUGUUUCCCUUGCCAAGAUUGAAAAGACAAAGAAACUGAGGCCAAGGAACACAAAGAUGGAGACUGAGAUCUAAUCCAGGAAGCUGCCCAAAGCCUGGCCAG